rnacentral:rRNA from 1 species
UACGUAGGGUGCGAGCGUUAAUCGGAAUUACUGGGCGUAAAGCGUGCGCAGGCGGUUUUGUAAGCCAGAUGUGAAAUCCCCGGGCUUAACCUGGGAAUGGCAUUUGGGACUGCAAGGCUCGAGUGCGGCAGAGGAGACUGGAAUUCCUGGUGUAGCAGUGAAAUGCGUAGAUAUCAGGAGGAACACCGAUGGCGAAGGCAGGUCGUCUGGGCUGACACUGACGCUCAUGCACGAAAGGCGUGGGGAGCAAACGAGG